rnacentral:rRNA from 1 species
GACGAACGCUGGCGGCGUGCUUAACACAUGCAAGUCGAGCGGUAAGGCCCUUUCGGGGGUACGACGAGCGGCGAACGGGUAGAGUAACACGUGGGUGACCUGCCCUCAGCUCUGGGAUAAGCCUGGGAAACCGGGUACUAAUACCGGAUAUGACUCCAUGACGCAUGUUGUGGGGUGGAAAGCCUUGUGCGGCUGAGGAUGGGCCCGCGGCCUAUCAGCUUGUUGGUGGGGUGAUGGCCUACCAAGGCGACGACGGGUAGCCGGCCUGAGAGGGCGACCGGCCACACUGGGACUGAGACACGGCCCAGACUCCUACGGGAGGCAGCAGUGGGGAAUCUUGCGCAAUGGGCGAAAGCCUGACGCAGCGACGCCGCGUGAGGGAUGACGGCCU